rnacentral:rRNA from 1 species
GAUGAACGCUGGCGGCGUGCCUAAUACAUGCAAGUCGAGCGAACAGACGAGGAGCUUGCUCCUCUGACGUUAGCGGCGGACGGGUGAGUAACACGUGGAUAACCUACCUAUAAGACUGGGAUAACUUCGGGAAACCGGAGCUAAUACCGGAUAAUAUAUUGAACCGCAUGGUUCAAUAGUGAAAGACGGUUUUGCUGUCACUUAUAGAUGGAUCCGCGCCGCAUUAGCUAGUUGGUAAGGUAACGGCUUACCAAGGCGACGAUGCGUAGCCGACCUGAGAGGGUGAUCGGCCACACUGGAACUGAGACACGGUCCAGACUCCUACGGGAGGCAGCAGUAGGGAAUCUUCCGCAAAGGGCGAAAGCCUGACGGAGCAACGCCGUGUGAGUGAUGAAGGUCUUCGGAUCGUAAAACUCUGUUAUUAGGGAAGAACAAAUGUGUAAGUAACUAUGCACGUCUUGACGGUACCUAAUCAGAAAGCCACGGCUAACUACGUG